UGAAGAGAGAGUAUCUGUGGAGAGGAGAACUUGGCAGUGCAGGAGAAAGGGGUUAAACGAUGGAGUGAGGUCACUGAGGAAGUGGGAAGGAAUGUGUCCCAAGAGGGAGGCAUGAGCCUUGGGCCCUAGGAGGACACCUCCCCUGUAACGACAGCCUAUGGUUGUUUCUAGGAGCUGGAGAUGUUGUUGCUGUUGGGAGUAAAGGGGUUGAAAGAAUUCUUGCCUCUUUUCUCCAUAAAAUAGGAGCAGUGAUCAUCUCAUAAAGACUGAUCAUAUCAGUUUGCGGCCUGGAAUUAUAAACGGAAGCCCCCAGAACUCCAAUCUGAAGUCUCACCCGUGGGGUGUACGAACCGCCCGGGACCCUUCCCAACUGGGGCUCCAGAUCACUGUCACUUGGAACUUCCCAGCUGUUACUUGGAUCUGGAACUAGAUCUAGAGGCUCCAUUAGAUUCUGGCUGGUGAUGAUGACGAUGAUGAUGGUGAUGAUUUUGGCAAGAAUACUGCAAAGGUAAUCAUGGAGAUUUGAACAUAAAUUGGGAAUUAGAUGAUGUGAAGAAAUUAUUGCUAGGGACUUCCCUGGUGGUCCAGUGGUUAAGAAUCCACCUUCCAGUGCAGGGGACGCGGGUUCGUUACCGAGUUGGGGAACUAGAUCCC